rnacentral:rRNA from 3 species
GGAAAGACCCCGUGAACCUUUACUAUAGCUUGACACUGAACAUUGAGCCUUGAUGUGUAGGAUAGGUGGGAGGCUUUGAAGUGUGGACGCCAGUCUGCAUGGAGCCGACCUUGAAAUACCACCCUUUAAUGUUUGAUGUUCUAACGUGGACCCGUAAUCCGGGUUGCGGACAGUGUCUGGUGGGUAGUUUGACUGGGGCGGUCUCCUCCUAAAGAGUAACGGAGGAGCACGAAGGUUGGCUAAUCCUGGUCGGACAUCAGGAGGUUAGUGCAAUGGCAUAAGCCAGCUUGACUGCGAGCGUGACGGCGCGAGCAGGUGCGAAAGCAGGUCAUAGUGAUCCGGUGGUUCUGAAUGGAAGGGCCAUCGCUCAACGGAUAAAAGGUACUCCGGGGAUAACAGGCUGAUACCGCCCAAGAGUUCAUAUCGACGGCGGUGUUUGGCACCUCGAUGUCGGCUCAUCACAUCCUGGGGCUGAAGUAGGUCCCAAGGGUAUGGCUGUUCGCCAUUUAAAGUGGUACGCGAGCUGGGUUUAGAACGUCGUGAGACAGUUCGGUCCCUAUCUGCCGUGGGCGCUGGAGAACUGAGGGGGGCUGCUCCUAGUACGAGAGGACCGGAGUGGACGCAUCACUGGUGUUCGGGUUGUCAUGCCAAUGGCACUGCCCGGUAGCUAAAUGCGGAAGAGAUAAGUGCUGAAAGCAUCUAAGCACGAAACUUGCCCCGA